rnacentral:rRNA from 1 species
GUAACGCGUAUGCAACCUACCUUUAACAGGGGGAUAACACUGAGAAAUUGGUACUAAUACCCCAUAAUAUCAUAGAAGGCAUCUUUUAUGGUUGAAAAUUCCGAUGGUUAGAGAUGGGCAUGCGUUGUAUUAGCUAGUUGGUGGGGUAACGGCUCACCAAGGCGACGAUACAUAGGGGGACUGAGAGGUUAACCCCCCACACUGGUACUGAGACACGGACCAGACUCCUACGGGAGGCAGCAGUGAGGAAUAUUGGUCAAUGGACGCAAGUCUGAACCAGCCAUGCCGCGUGCAGGAUGACGGCUCUAUGAGUUGUAAACUGCUUUUGUACGAGGGUAAACGCAGAUACGUGUAUCUGUCUGAAAGUAUCGUACGAAUAAGGAUCGGCUAACUCCGUGCCAGCAGCCGCGGUAAUACGGAGGAUUCAAGCGUUAUCCGGAUUUAUUGGGUUUAAAGGGUGCGUAGGCGGUUUGAUAAGUUAGAGGUGAAAUUUCGGGGCUCAACCCUGAACGUGCCUCUAAUACUGUUGAGCUAGAGAGUAGUUGCGGUAGGCGGAAUGUAUGGUGUAGCGGUGAAAUGCUUAGAGAUCAUACAGAACACCGAUUGCGAAGGCAGCUUACCAAACUAUAUCUGACGUUGAGGCACGAAAGCGUGGGGAGCAAACAGGAUUAGAUACCCUGGUAGUCCACGCAGUAAACGAUGAUAACUCGUUGUCGGCGAUACACAGUCGGUGACUAAGCGAAAGCGAUAAGUUAUCCACCUGGGGAG